rnacentral:lncRNA from 1 species
GCGAAAACGGAGUGGAUGGUGGAGGAAGAAGGUGAAACCUAUGUCAAAGACACUCUUGUCUUAUCAUUAUAAAAAAAUAUUUAAUAAAAUUAUAAUUCUGUAAAACUUUUUGGCGGGCGGUGAAAAAAUUCGGUAAACUUUUUGGAGGGAUGACACGAAAAAUAAAUUUUCAAUAUUAUUUCAUAAACUUUUUGGAGGGAUGACACGAAAAAUAAAUUUUCAAUAAAUUUUUGGAGUGACCGGCGCCGCUCUUUCUUUCCCGUUAUUUCUUUCUCCGUUUUGGUGUUUCAAUUUUUUUUUUCAUCAAUAUAUUUAUAUAUUUUUCCCAGUUUAUAUAUUUAUAUUUUUAUGUAUUCCUUCCUUCUUUUUUAUUUUUGGACGUUAUAAUUAUAUGUAUUCCUUCCUAAAAAAAUUUGCAUUUAUAUUUUUUUAAUAUGCAUAUUUAUUUUUAAUU